GACGAACGCUGGCGGCGUGCCUAAUACAUGCAAGUCGAACGCAGGGGGGACGGGUGAGUAACACGUGGGUAACCUCCCAUCAGAGGGGAUAACACUUGGAAACAGGUGCUAAACCGAUACUGAUGGAUGAACCCGCGGUGCAUUAGCUAGUUGGUGGGGUAACGGCCCACCAAGGCCACGAUGCAUAUAGCGUGUGAGAGGAGGAUCAGCCACACUGGGACUGAGACACGGCCCAGACGCCUACGGGAGGCAGCAGUGGGGAAUGUUGGACAAUGGGCGAAAGUCUGAUCAAGCAAUGCCGCGUGUGUGAAGAAGGUUUUCGGAUCGUAAAGCUCUGUUGGUAGAGAAGCGGUAUCUACAGAGUAAGCACCGGCUAACUACGUGCCAGCAGCCGCGGUAAUUC
rnacentral:rRNA from 1 species